GAGCGGUAAGGCCCUUCGGGGUACACGAGCGGCGAACGGGUGAGUAACACGUGAGCAACCUGCCCCUGACUCUGGGAUAAGCGGUGGAAACGCCGUCUAAUACCGGAUACGACCUUCCACCUCAUGGUGGAGGGUGGAAAGUUUUUUCGGUCAGGGAUGGGCUCGCGGCCUAUCAGCUUGUUGGUGGGGUAACGGCCUACCAAGGCGAUUACGGGUAGCCGGCCUGAGAGGGCGACCGGCCACACUGGGACUGAGACACGGCCCAGACUCCUGCGGGAGGCAGCAGUGGGGAAUAUUGCGCAAUGGGCGAAAGCCUGACGCAGCGACGCCGCGUGGGGGAUGACGGCCUUCGGGUUGUAAACCUCUUUUACCACCAACGCAGGCUCCGGGUUCUCUCGGGGUUGACGGUAGGUGGGGAAUAAGGACCGGCUAACUACGUGCCAGCAGCCGCGGUAAUACGUAGGGUCCGAGCGUUGUCCGGAAUUAUUGGGCGUAAAGAGCUCGUAGGCGGCGUGUCGCGUCUGCUGUGAAAGACCGGGGCUUAACUCCGGUUCUGCAGUGGAUACGGGCAUGCUAGAGGUAGGUAGGGGAGACUGGAAUUCCUGGUGUAGCGAUGAAAUGCGCAGAUAUCAGGAGGAACACCGGUGGCGAAGGCGGGUCUCUGGGCCUUACCUGACGCUGAGGAGCGCAAACAUGGGGAGCGAUCAGGAUUAGAUACCC
rnacentral:rRNA from 1 species